CCUACGGGAGGCAGCAGUGAGGAAUAUUGGUCAAUGGGCGAGAGCCUGAACCAGCCAAGUAGCGUGAAGGAUGACUGCCCUAUGGGUUGUAAACUUCUUUUAUAAAGGAAUAAAGUCGGGUAUGGAUACCCGUUUGCAUGUACUUUAUGAAUAAGGAUCGGCUAACUCCGUGCCAGCAGCCGCGGUAAUACGGAGGAUCCGAGCGUUAUCCGGAUUUAUUGGGUUUAAAGGGUGCGUAGGCGGACGCUUAAGUCAGUUGUGAAAGUUUGCGGCUCAACCGUAAAAUUGCAGUUGAUACUGGGUGUCUUGAGUACAGUAGAGGCAGGCGGAAUUCGUGGUGUAGCGGUGAAAUGCUUAGAUAUUAGGAGGAACACCAGUGGCGAAGGCGGCUUACUGGACGGCAACUGACGUUGAGGCUCGAAAG
rnacentral:rRNA from 1 species